rnacentral:rRNA from 1 species
UACAGAGGGUGCGAGCGUUAAUCGGAAUUACUGGGCGUAAAGCGCGCGUAGGCGGCUUUGCAAGUCGGGUGUGAAAUCCCCAGGCUUAACCUGGGAACUGCAUUCGAGACUGCAUUGCUAGAGUAUGGGAGAGGGAAGUGGAAUUCCGGUGUAGCGGUGAAAUGCGUAGAUAUCGGAAGGAACAUCAGUGGCGAAAGCGACUUCCUGGACCAAUACUGACGCUCAUGAUGCGGAAAGCGUGGGGAGCAAACAGG